rnacentral:rRNA from 1 species
GACGAACGCUGGCGGCGUGCUUAACACAUGCAAGUCGAACGGAAAGGCUCCAGCUUGCUGGAGUACUCGAGUGGCGAACGGGUGAGUAACACGUGGGUAAUCUGCCCUGCACUCUGGGAUAAGCCUGGGAAACUGGGUCUAAUACUGGAUAUGACCUUUCUCCUUAUGGGGUUUGGUGGAAAGUUUUUCGGUGUAGGAUGAGCCCGCGGCCUAUCAGCUUGUUGGUGGGGUGAUGGCCUACCAAGGCGACGACGGGUAGCCGGCCUGAGAGGGUGAUCGGCCACAUUGGGACUGAGAUACGGCCCAGACUCCUACGGGAGGCAGCAGUGGGGAAUAUUGCACAAUGGGCGGAAGCCUGAUGCAGCGACGCCGCGUGAGGGAUGACGGCCUUCGGGUUGUAAACCUCUUUCAGCAGGGUCGAAGCGUAAGUGACGGUACCUGCAGAAGAAGCACCGGCUAACUAGGUG